ACCUUUCCAGAGAUCUUAUGAAGUGCUGCCUGUCAGCUAAUGGCCUAGUGUGUCAGCCUUGUGCAGGAUGCAGAUGCUGCUCCUAAAGCUUUCUUGGACUGAGAAGACUUUUCUCAUUUCUGAAGUCCACACGAGUUUCCUCAUUACUGAAGAAUGCAUUUCACGAUAUAAAACCUAAUCUAUACAGCUGUAUGUUGUUUGGGACUCAGUUAACUUAGAAUUGAUUCUCUUCCUCUGCACAGUCCAGGCAGUUGAAAUAAGUUAAAUGUUUUUUUUCCAACAUAGCCAUCCACAUUUAAGGCAUGGUGACCUAAAGUCUUUCCUUGAGAACUCGCACCUCUGAAAACCUGAUACUUUGUAGAGGCAUAUGGCGAAACUCAGUGUAGCAUACAAGGUAUG
rnacentral:sRNA from 1 species